AAAUAUCACAUUUAUUAAUUAAUUAGAAAAAUUAGAAAUGAGAAUUCUAAAACAUAAAAAAAAAAUAGAAAAAUAGAUUAACGUUUCUAGAGCGUUCGGAAUGCAAACCACUGCUAGAGAAACUAUUCAGGCUUAUGCGAUGAUUGGUAGUUGAGAGAGCAAAUUUUUUUUCUUACUGCCUUGUCCAAUACGAGCGGUGAGCUGUGAGGAGUCAAGCUAGUUGCGUUGAUGAGGUCUUGUAUUUCUGUCACACCAUAAGAAGUAUAUGGUGGUUUGGAAGUACGUAAUAACAAAAACAUAGUUAAGACGAAAAAAGCUAGCAGAGGGAGCAUUUGGAGUGAUUUCAGAGCUAAGAGGGAUUUAUUCAAGUAUUUAUGGACCCAAGAAGGUUUUAAGAGUUUUCGAGCUUUAAAGACCAAAAGGCGAUCAAAACCCGUUUCAAGACAGUUUCUGUACGUCAGAAGUAUGACAUCCGUUCGAGAUCUUCCCGGUUACUAAAUCAAGAGAUCGGUAGCUGUGGAAAGCUAGAAGAGUCAAUAUUCGCCUCGAGGUAGAAUCAGAGCUUUUCCUUGAGCCGUUCAGAAGUUAUGACCAGAAGAAUGAAGACAUGUCUAGACCGACCAGGAGCUAUGCGAUCGUUCCGGAGCUUCUAGAGCGCACCGGUCACAAGGGCCGAGCCCGGGCUGCCUCCUACUCUCCAACCCGGUCACUAAUGCCUCUACCCUGUCCAGAGACGCGAGUUACACUUGACCUAAUCUAUGGAAAAAGACGCUUUUACUCCUAGACCUAACCCUUGAUUCCCGAAACCUAUAAAUACAUGUUGAAAGCCCUAAACCUAGUGUGCCUUCGCCGAGCUUCAACCGUGCCUCUCAAUCUCUCUCUGCCCUCGCCGUGAGCUGCAGCCGUCGUCCAUUGAAGCUUUGAAGAAUCACCAAAUCUCUCUCUCUUUUCUCUUGUUUUCUCUAAGAUCUAUUAAGGUGAAGUCUUACCUCUUGUAUUCUACUUUCAAAGAAGUAAUCUCUAAACCCUAUUCAGUUCUUAUUCUUUUCUUUCUCA